UCAUGUAUAGGGAGUCUGGUC
rnacentral:miRNA from 1 species